CCUACGGGAGGCAGCAGUAAGGAAUAUUGGACAAUGGCCGCAAGGCUGAUCCAGCCAUCCAGCGUGCAGGAGGAAGGCCCUAUGGGUUGUAAACUGCUUUUGUCAGGGAAGAAACCUUUGGAUUUACUCCGAAGCUGACGGUACCUGAAGAAUAAGCCCCGGCUAACUCCGUGCCAGCAGCCGCGGUAAU
rnacentral:rRNA from 1 species